rnacentral:piRNA from 1 species
UAAUGAAGAUGAACCAGAAGAGAAGGGUG